GACGAACGCUGGCGGCGUGCCUAAUACAUGCAAGUAGAACGCAGUUGCGAACGGGUGAGUAACGCGUAGCUAACUGCCUGGUAGCGGGGGAUAACUAUUGGAAACGAUAGCUAAUACCGCAUCCUACCAGUUGGACCUGCGUUGUAUUAGGUAGUUGGUGGGGUACCGGCUCACCAAGGCAACGCUACAUAGCCGACCGGAGAGGGUGUGCGGCCACACUGGGACUGGGAAACGGCCCAUACUCCUACGGGAGGCAGCAGUAGGGAAUCUUCGGCAAUGGGCGGAAGUCUGGCCGAGCAACGCCGCGGGAGUGAAGAAGGUUUUCGGAUCGUAAAGCUCUGUUGUAAGAGAAGCGGUAUCUUACCAGAAAGGGACGGCUAACUACGUGCCAGCAGCCGCGGUAAUAC
rnacentral:rRNA from 1 species